rnacentral:rRNA from 1 species
ACAAGCUGAGAAACGGCUAGUAGGACUAAGGUCUGCAGCAGGCGCGAAACUUACACAAUGCUAGAUUACAAUUAGCGAUGUAGUGAAGAAAAAUAACGAUGUACUUCCAUUUAAACAUGGUAGUAUAAUUGGAAUGAGACGACUAUAAACCAGUUAGUCGAGUAACAAAUGGAGGGCAAGUCUGGUGCCAGCAGCCGCGGUAAUUCCAGCUCCAUUAGCAUACAUUAAAGUCGUUGCGGUUAAAAAGCUCGUAGUUGAAUUUUAGGCGGGCUCUAUUGGGAUGCAACCGUCAAGGCUCUAGCGUUGGCCCUAAAAAGCCUCGCCAGUAGCUGGUUGUAUCGCCCUAUAGGAACCCGCUGUUUCGUCACUUAAUCGAGUGCGAAGCGGGCUGGAACAAGAUUAAGCACUCGUUGUUUAUCUGUUACAGCAUGUUUACCUUGAGAAAAUUAGAGUGCUCACAGCAGGCAGUUGGGGUGUAAAAGCUCCUUUAUGCUUGAAUAAUGUUGCAUGGAAUAAUAGAAUAUGGCCUCGGUUCUAUUCUGUUGGUCUUAUAGAACAACAAACAAGUUGGUUAAAGCGAUCAAAAGUCUAUUUGGGGUGUGGCAUUGUGGAACUUUGCUUGUCGGGUUCGUUUUGACUUUCAGCCGGAUUGUGUUGCGUGGGGCCUAAAAAUCUCAGUGCCGCGUUCGCGUUUGGAAUGUUCAUACAGCUCACAACUAAGACCUCUUCAUUGUCUAUCAAAGCACCCCUUAUAUGGCUAGCUUUCUAAUCAACUGAGGCAAUGGUUAAAAGAAAUAGUCGCGGCGGCAUCAGUACUGCAUCGUGAGAG